CCUCAGGCCAGUUGGAAGUAGUUCAGCUUUACCUGCUGGUUUCCUGCUGUUUGUUUCAGGAAUGCAUUUGUUUGUUUUUAAACAUUAGAUUUAAACAUUUGAUUGUGCGCCUCUUACGUUGGGUGUAAACUACCCUGGAUCCUUUUUUGAAGCCGCUUUCCAGCUGUCCAAUCCAUGGGAUUCCCUGCUGCCUUCACGCUGAAAACAACUACCAAAAGUACUCCUCUGUCAGAGAAGCCAGCUGGAAAAGUCGAUUCUACUGACAUAUACCUCUGCAUGCAGUUCUGAGCAAGACAAGAGGAAAACCCAUUGGUGAAUGGACAGAAUUCCAGGAGCGCACUGCCAUCUGCCACUUGCAUAAGAAGAAGAAGAAGAAGGAAGAGAAAUAAUCAGUGGGACACAGCACCAGGAGGAACUGGUGGUCAGAGCAUGCCUACCUCCUGCUGGUGCAUGCUGUCUAAGCACUACCUGACUGUCUCUCUGUGCCUCCCCAAGGACUCAGACUGACCAAGCUACUGAGGGAUAUGUAGACAAACCAAACCAGGCUGACCCAAUGGACUGCUAGGGUCGAGUGUG